AGUGAACGCUGGCGGCGUGCCUAAUACAUGCAAGUCGAACGGAGUGGCGUACGGGGGAGUAAUAUAUAGCUCAUCUGCCCCUCGCUGGAGAACAAAACUUAGAAAUGACUCUCAUAACUCCUAAGCAAGGGAUGACGCUAUAUCGUAUCAGCUAGUCGGUGGGGUAACGGCCUACCGAGGCGAUGACGCGUAACUGGUCUGAGAGGAUGAUCAGUCACAUUGGAACUGAGACACGGUCCAAGCUCCUACGGGAGUCAGCCGUAGGGAAUAGUGCGCAAUGGGGGGAUCCCUGGCGCGGCAACGCCGCGUGGAGGAUGACACUUUUCGGGGCGGAAACUCCUGUUGUUAGGGAAGCGGUACCUAACGAAUAAGCACCGGCUAACUCCGUGCCAGCAGCCGCGGUAAUUC
rnacentral:rRNA from 1 species